AUGAUUACAACAUAUGAAUACAUACACGUACACUUUUUAAAAUUCUUUUUCCACCUUCUAAUCAUUCUUGUGACCACAAACUGAUAUCCGUACCUCCCAAAUAUGUUCUUCAAGAAUUCAAAGGUACUGAACAUAAGGAUCUUUCACUUCUGGAAGCGCAAGGGUUGCUUGAAAAUGCGCGAACCGCUAGUUAUCUAUGGCGACCCAUGUAACUUCUAGGGACAAAUCGUACUAUCAAUAUUCCUAAUAACCAAUAUUAUUCCAUUCUGUCAGAAUACUUCUAUUUAUAAUUUUAUUUCUAUAUUUUUAACUUAUUCAUUUCGAUAUAUGUGACUCUUGUAAGCAAUACAUUUUAGUAAUGUUCU